rnacentral:rRNA from 1 species
UACGAGGGGGGCGAGCGUUGUUCGGAAUUAUUGGGCGUAAAGGGCGCGUAGGCGGUCGGGUAAGUCUGACGUGAAAUCUCCGGGCCUAACCCGGAAACUGCGUUGGAAACUGCCUGGCUAGAGGAAUGGAGGGGAGACUGGAAUACUUGGUGUAGCAGUGAAAUGCGUAGAUAUCAAGUGGAACACCAGUGGCGAAGGCGAGUCUCUGGACAUUUCCUGACGCUGAGGCACGAAAGCCAGGGGAGCAAACGGG